rnacentral:rRNA from 1 species
GACAACCUCUGGCGGCGUGCUUAACACAUGCAAGUCAAACGGAAAGGCCCUGCUUGCUGGGUACUCGAGUGGCGAACGGGUGAGUAACACGUGGGUGAUCUGCCCUGCACUUUGGGAUAAGCUUGGGAAACUGGGUCUAAUACCGGAUAGGAACCCUCUUUAGUGUGGGGGGUGGAAAGAUUUUUCCGUGUAGGAGGAGCUCGCGCCCUAUCAACUUGUUGGUGGGGGAAUGGCCUACCAAGGCGGCGACUGGUAGCCGAGCCUGAGAGGGUGUACGGCCACAUUGGGACUGACAUACAGCCCACACUCCUACCGGAGGCAGCAGUGGGGAAUAUAGCACAAUGGGCGCAAGCCUGAUGCGACGACGCCCCGUGGGGGAUGAAGGCCUUCCGGUUGUAAACUCCUUUCGCUAGGCACGAAACUUUUUGUGACGGAACCUAUAUAAGAAGCACCGGCUAACUACGUGCCAGCAGCCGCGGUAAUACAUAGGGAGCGAGCGUUGUCCGGAAUUACUGGGCGUAAAGGAACUCGUAGGUGGUUUGUCACGUCGUCUGUGAAAUUCUGGGGCUUAUCUCCCGGCGUGCAUGCUAUACAGACAUAACUUCAGUGCUGUAGGGGUAACUGGAAUUCCUGGUGUAGCGGUGAAAUGCGCAGAUAUCAGGAGGAACACCGAUGGCGAAGGCGGGUUACUGGGCAUUUACUGACGCUGAGGAGCGAAAGCAUGGGUAACAAACAGGAUUAUAUACCCUGGUAGUCCAUGCCAAAAACGGUGGGCGCUAGGUGUGAGGGUCUUUCUACUACUUUCGUGCGCGUAGCUAACGCAUUAAGCGCCCCGCCUGGGGAGUACGGCCGCAAGUCUAAAACUCAAAGGAAUUGACGGGGGCCCGCACAAGCGGCGGAGCAUGUGUAUUAAUUCGAUGCAACGCGAAGAACCUUUCCUGGGCUUGACAUCACGCCAGAUUGGACUAGAGAUAGUUCGUCCCUUGGUGGGUGGAGCACAGGCGGCGCAUGGUUGUCGUCAUCUCGUGUCGUGAGAUGUUGGGUUAAGUCCCGCAACGAGCGCACCCUUUUUCUUAUGUUCCCAGCAUUUGGUUGGGGACUCAUGAGAGACUGCCGGGGUCAACUCGGAGGAAGGUGGGGAUGACGUCAAAUCAUCAUGCCCCUUAUGUCCAGGGCUUCGCACAUGCUACAAUGGUCGGUACAACGCGCUGCGACCCUGUGAGGUGGAGCGAAUCGCUGAAAGCCGGCCUUAGUUCGGAUUGGGGUGUGCAACUCGACCCCAUGAAGUCGGAGUCGCUAGUAAUCGCAGAUCAGCAAUGCUGCGGUGAAUACGUUCCCGGGCCU